rnacentral:rRNA from 1 species
AUUGAACGCUGGCGGCAUGCCUUACACAUGCAAGUCGAACGGUAACAGGUCUUCGGAUGCUGACGAGUGGCGAACGGGUGAGUAAUACAUCGGAACGUGCCCGAGAGUGGGGGAUAACGAGGCGAAAGCUUUGCUAAUACCGCAUACGAUCUCAGGAUGAAAGCAGGGGACCGCAAGGCCUUGCGCUCACGGAGCGGCCGAUGGCAGAUUAGGUAGUUGGUGGGAUAAAAGCUUACCAAGCCGACGAUCUGUAGCUGGUCUGAGAGGACGACCAGCCACACUGGGACUGAGACACGGCCCAGACGCCUACGGGAGGCAGCAGUGGGGAAUUUUGGACAAUGGGCGCAAGCCAGAUCCAGCCAUGCCGCGUGCAGGAUGAAGGCCUUCGGGUUGUAAACUGCUUUUGUACGGAACGAAAAGACUCUGGUUAAUACCUGGGGUCCAUGACGGUACCGUAAGAAUAAGCACCGGCUAACUACGUGCCAGCAGCCGCCGUAAUAC